rnacentral:rRNA from 1 species
GACGAACGCUGGCGGCGUGCUUAACACAUGCAAGUCGAACGGAAAGGCCCUGCUCUUGUGGGGUGCUCGAGUGGCGAACGGGUGAGUAACACGUGAGUAACCUGCCCUUGACUUUGGGAUAACUUCAGGAAACUGGGGCUAAUAUCGGAUAGGAGCUACUGCUGCACGGUGGGGGUUGGAAAGUUUCGGCGGUUGGGGAUGGACUAGCGGCUUAUCAGCUUGUUGGUGGGGUAGUGGCUUACCAAGGCUUUGACGGGUAGCCGGCCUGAGAGGGUGACCGGCCACAUUGGGACUGCGGUACGGCCCAGACUCCUACGGGAGGCAGCAGUGGGGAAUAUUGCGCAAUGGGCGGAAGCCUGAUGCAGCAACGCCGCGUGCGGAAUAACGGCCUACGGGUUGUAAACCGCUUUCGCCUGUGACGAAGCGUGAGUGACGGUAAUGGGUAAAGAAGCACCGGCUAACUACGUG